ACGUAGGGGGCAAGCGUUAUCCGGAUUUACUGGGUGUAAAGGGAGUGUAGGUGGCAUGAUAAGUCAGAUGUGAAAGCCCGGGGCUCAACUCCGGGAUUGCAUUUGAAACUAUCAAGCUAGAGUGCAGGAGAGGUAAGUGGAAUUCCUAGUGUAGCGGUGAAAUGCGUAGAUAUUAGGAGGAACACCAGUGGCGAAGGCGGCUUACUGGACUGUAACUGACACUGAGGCUCGAAAGCGUGGGGAGCGAACAG
rnacentral:rRNA from 1 species